GACGAACGCUGGCGGCGUGCUUAACACAUGCAAGUCGAACGAAGAGCGAUGGAAGCUUGCUUCUAUCAAUCUUAGUGGCGAACGGGUGAGUAACGCGUAAUCAACCUGCCCUUCAGGGGGGGACAACAGUUGGAAACGACUGCUAAUACCGCAUACGAUCUAAACUCGGCAUCGAGGAUAGAUGAAAGGUGGCCUCUACAUGUAAGCUAUCACUGAAGGAGGGGAUUGCGUCUGAUUAGCUAGUUGGAGGGGUAACGGCCCACCAAGGCGAUGAUCAGUAGCCGGUCUGAGAGGAUGAACGGCCACAUUGGGACUGAGACACGGCCCAGACUCCUACGGGAGGCAGCAGUGGGGAAUCUUCCGCAAUGGACGAAAGUCUGACGGAGCAACGCCGCGUGAGUGAUGACGGCCUUCGGGUUGUAAAGCUCUGUUAAUCGGGACGAAAGGCCUUCUUGCGAAUAGUGAGAAGGAUUGACGGUACCGGAAUAGAAAGCCACGGCUAACUACGUG
rnacentral:rRNA from 1 species